ACACAUUUAUGAUCUACUCUUAACAUUUACGAUCAACUGGUACACUGCACUACACUUUUAGACGGCGUUACUUGGAGGCGGGCAUCACAUGGAAGCAUCUGCAUCAAUUUGUGAAUCCCAACAUCUUUUUCUUAUAUCGGAGGGCCUACAACAGAGAAGUCAUGCUAGUUAUCCAUGUCUAACAUUUAGAAGAUACUUUAUGAAUUCAACCUUCAGCAAAAUCUCACGGUACAAGUCAUCAUGCUUUUCAUUCUCACAUAAUUCUGAGUUGAGAUGAAUGGGGUCCAAUGCUCUUGCAAAUCACCUUGAGUUACUAGCAAAGCUCCAUCCCCACUUUUUUUUUAUUACAGUGACAACAGUGGCUUCAAACGAGAAGAUUGUAGAAGACACCAGCCCUUUUUUUCCCAGGAGACUGCAGAGCACGAUUUACCAUCUAAUAUAGGGCACAGACUUACUGCACUGUAAUAACACUGCAAAAGGAGACAAACUGCGCCCUCAUGACCUUCCAAAAAA